CUCCAGGUCUUUUUGGAAGUAAUUGUGUUUUUUGAAUGAUACAUGUUGUUAAAAAGUAUAAACCACCUGGCAUCAAAUUGUGCAUAUCGUCUGCGUCUGAGCAUAAACUAAUAUUUGGACGUGGGCUUGUAUGAUACAAAUUGUCAUAAUACUCUGGUCAGUUUUUUUUGACAAAUUUUCUGUAAUUUUUAAAUACUUGAACUCUGCAAUAAACCAUUUAAUUCACUGGUAC